rnacentral:misc_RNA from 1 species
GAUGAAGAACGCAGCGAAAUGCGAUACGUAAUGUGAAUUGCAGAAUUCAGUGAAUCAUCGAGUCUUUGAACGCACAUUGCGCCCCCUGGUAUUCCGGGGGGCAUGCCUGUCCGAGCGUCAUUGCUGCCCUCAAGCACGGCUUGUGUGUUGGGCCUCCGUCCUCCUCCCGGGGGACGGGCCCGAAAGGCAGCGGCGGCACCGCGUCCGGUCCUCGAGCGUAUGGGGCUUCGUCACCCGCUCUUGUAGGCCCGGCCGGCGCUUGCCGACACAUCAAUCUUUUUUCCAGGUUGACCUCGGAUAAGGUAGGGAUACCCGCUGAACUUAAGCAUAUCAAUAAGCGGAGGA